UCUCUCUCUCUCUCUCUCUAGAGAUUGCAGAGAGUCGUCUAGGUCGCCACGCCUCCACUACCUCCGUAAAACCCCCCAACACCCUCCCAUAUCUCAACUAAACCACCCCAAACCCUAUCCUUCGUCUUCGUCCUGUAUUUUAUAAAAGAAAGCUUCUUAAUUUUUGGUUUGCUUUGAGUAUUCCCAAUUGGUUUGUUCAAUUUUGCUGUUUAGGUUAAAAUUAUAUGGUUCAGAUUAGAAAUUAGGUUUUGGUUUGAUGGGUUUUCUAUUGAUUGGUUGUAUGUUGCCUUUGGUUUAAAUUGCAGGUUGCAAACUUGUGUUUGUUUGCUGCCAAUCCUAAAGGAUCGAUUGGCUGAGAUUGUUGAGGAGGAGUUGAUACCAAUCAGUUGCAGAAACAAUGGCACGGAGAAAUUUCUAAACAAUUAUGCGGACCAUAGGCCCACUCCUCUCCAAGUCCCUCUUCAAUCAGAUGGUCUCACUUCGACUUUAGUGGUCCAACUUCUGGGAGCACAACUUGUGUUGCAAUUAUUAGAAACAACCAACUUGUUGUUGCCAAUGCUGGUGAUUCUCGUUGUGUCAUAUUGAGGAAGGGUCAGAUAGAAGAUCAAAGAUGUGCUAAAUUCACACUCCAUUUUGUCCGGGUAUGGAUUGGGCGUUUUAAUUUAGCUUUAUUGUGCAUAGUAGGUAUCAAUCACUGCAUUAGCCUUGCAAAUUAUCGAGCUACUAAUGUACAAUGCUCAUUCUUAACUUCCUAAGUAGAUUGCUGCAAUAGUUGUGGAUUAUUUGGUUUAACUUUUGUUACUUACUACUAGACCAAAUUGGUAUCUGUUAAUGUCUAAAAGUUCAGCGGUAGCUAAACCUUUGUUGACGCUGGUCCGAUGGGCGGACCGAUACUUGUGAUGUUCUCAAAGCUUCCGCUACCUGUCAAGUAAAAUACAAAGGGCGUCAGAGGGAGACCGCGCUGGGCGGUCUUCAACUCUCUGAUGCCUAAGUUAGUCAAUGUAUUUAUGUUGACAAAGUAACAGUAGGUAAGUAUUAAAUGCGUAAUUAAUGAAGAGAGAAAAGAGAACCUUUUAUAGGUGAGGGAAGAGCUGAGCUUCUCCAUGUUUUCGAUGUGGGACUGAUGUGCUUCAGUCCCCAGCUUCUGUAGCUUCUGCCGCUGUCUUGGCGCGGCGCAUCAGGGGUAAUCUGGGGGUGAGCCGGGGCUCAAGCGGUAGCCCGCCUGGCUGUGUUUCCGUAGGUCACACCUUUGGUGGGAGUUGGUACCGCUGGCGGUAGCAUGAGCGUGGCUCAUUAUAGCUAAUUAUGCUUGCAAAUGUCUAUCUUAUGGAAAGGGUGAUGCUGCAACUUAAGCUUGGGAAAAUCACUGCUACUUGAAAGAAUAUUGAAAGAGUUCGUAUGUUCACUAGUCUUUUUUGUUGAAGGUUGCAGCUACACUGACUUCUGAAGAAGAAUAUUUAGUUUUUUUUUUUUUUUAAUCUUUUAGUUCUAGAGUGUAAUACUUGAACUCACUGUAUGUAUCUUUUAAAUACAAAUUUUAGUUUUGUUGUUAAAAUUAUAAAUCGU